UAGUUCAACGGCCGCGGUACCCUAACCGUGCGAAGGUAGCGUAAUCACUUGUCUUCUAAAUAGAGACUAGUAUGAAAGGCAUCACGAGAAUUUAACUGUCUCCUUUUUCCAAUCAGUGAAACUAAUCUUCCCGUGAAGAAGCGGGAAUCCAAAAAUAAGACGAGAAGACCCUAUGGAGCUUUAAACACUAACCACCUGCCCAAUCUUAUAAAAACCCCGGUUCCUAAACCAACGCAUCAUGACUACGUGUUUUUGAUUGGGGCGACCACGGAAAAUAAUCAAACCUCCGUAAUGAAAACCUACAAGCCACAGCUUUAAGUAUCAACAAAUUGACAUCCAUUGACCCAAUAUAUUGACUAAUGAACCAAGUUACCCUAGGGAUAACAGCGCAAUCCACUUCAAGAGCUCCUAUCGACAAGUGGGCUUACGACCUCGAUGUUGGAUCGGGGUAUCCAAGUGGUGCAGCCACUACUAACGGUUCGUUUG
rnacentral:rRNA from 1 species